CCUACGGGAGGCAGCAGUGAGGAAUAUUGGUCAAUGGACGCGAGCCUGAACCAGCCAAGUAGCGUGAAGGAUGACUGCCCUACGGGUUGUAAACUUCUUUUAUAAGGGAAUAAAGUGAGGCACGUGUGCCUUUUUUUAUGUACUUUAUGAAAAAUGAUCGGCUAAAUCCGUGCCAGCAGCCGCGGUAAUACGGAGGAUUCGAGCGUUAUCCGGGUUUAUUGGGGUUAAAGGGAGCGGAGAUGGGUUGUUAAGUCCGUUGGUAAAGUUGGCGGGUCAACCGUAAAAUUGCAAUUGAUACUGGCAGCCUUGAGUACAGUGGAGGUAGGCGGAAUUCGUGGUGUAGCGGUGAAAUGCUUAGAUAUCACGAAGAACUCCGAUUGCGAAGGCAGCUUACUAACCUGCCACUGACAUUGAUGCUCGAAAGUGUGGGUAUCAAACAGGAUUAGAUACCCUAGUAGUC
rnacentral:rRNA from 1 species